rnacentral:lncRNA from 1 species
CGACCUUACUUGAACAGGAUCUGUUCUAUAGGUUCGUACCUCUGUAUCCUUAAGUUCUAAGGAGACAGGAACUGAAAUCUGGUGGAUGAUCUAUGACUCUGUGAUCAGAGCGUGAUUAACGGCUAGAUGAACUUCUCCUCGGAUUAGUGAAAUCUCCAGCUGUAGAGGAUCGUUCCUGGUCAGCAGUGGCUUAGGAUGGUCACAGAGUUGUCUGACAGAUUCUCUAAAGUAAUUUUAAUUUUUUGGAAAAUUCAGAUUCUCUUAAAAUAUUACUCUUGUUUUUGUAUGUUAUUAAAAACACAUUGCAAAAAUAUGAGAUCUACAUAAAUUAUUUAUGUAUUUCAUUGUAAAAUUAGAUAAAAAAAAAUAUUAAUAAAGUUUACUUGUGCUAAGUUUUUAAAAAGAGGUACAUUAAGUUUAGAAAGAAUUGACACAAAAAAUAUUAAACUAAAUAAUAUUAAGAAUAAAGAAAAAAUAUAAAUUAAAAUAUAUAAUAAAAAUAUAAUGUAUUAUGAUCUAAAUUAAAAAAAGAAAUCACUUGUCUUUAUCUAAAUUUGGUCAGUUAUCCUAAAACCUAAUUUAAUAUUAAAUUGAAAAAAUACAAUGGAAAAUGCUUUGUAGUGAUUAUGUCAGACGAAUGAAGCAAUGCUAAAAACUGAUGGAGGAGACUUCCAUUGAUUUUGACAGACGAUUUGAUUACGGAUAAAAUAUAUUUUAAUACACGUUUUAAACUCAUUGUUUUGUUAUUAAUAUGUGAUUCAACAUGGUGUUCUUUAUUUAGUAAUUCUUUUAAAAUAAUUAUUAUUUAAUUAACCUUUGAAAUAACUUUUUUAAAAUAAACAAGUAUUUCUUUAGAUUUUAUCAGCACCAGACUGUAUUAAUAAGGGGCCAUGAUUUUGUUUUUAGUAGUUUUUUUAAUAGAAUUAUUUAUUAAGUCGUGUUAUGCAAAUUGAUAAAGAAUAUUAAAAAACUUUACUCAUUAUAUAUCUUAGUUCAUCAUUUUUUAGUAUUAACAGUGUUUUUUAAGACUCUUUUUUAAUAAAUUGUUACGAAAAUGAUGUACUUUCUGUCAUUUAUUUUGGCUAGAUUAGAAGCGAAGUCAGCGUAGGAAUAGAUGAUUACUAAAAUGAGAUAUUGAUUACCACAAAGUAAAAAAAGAAAAAAAAAAAAAAAAAGUAAAAAAUCAAGAGCCGAUAAAAUCACCGGUGUGUGCUGGUAACCUUCGAACACAACACAUGGAAGUGACUCUGACGAGCUUGCUUCAUCACCGCUGUGCAUGAUCACUAAGUGGAAGGUGUUCCAUCUUCCAUUUUCGCAGACAAAUUAAGAAAAAUUAUAUUUUUUCACCUUUUCUUUGGCGUCUGAAACUGUUUUCCUUUCAUGGGUGAAUCCACCAUUCCUCAUUUUCAGCAUCUAAUGGCGAAAAAAUUGCUCUUUUUGUUGACCCUUUUGGAAAUACUCCUCUGUGGGCAAUCCAAGUUUAUGGUGUACAAUACAUCACAGGGUAUAGUCCCUGACAAGCUCAAUGUUCAUCUGGUAGCUCAUACUCAUGACGAUGUUGGUUGGUUGAAGACCGUUGAUCAGUACUAUGUUGGUUCUAACAAUUCAAUUCAGGUGUUUAUUUAAUUCUCUUUCUUUGGCUAAACUUGUGAACAAUGGUGUCUGAAGAUUGCAAGUUGAGGGUCUUGUUUGCUAUGUUGCAAUGUGCAGGGCGCUUGUGUGCAGAAUGUGUUGGACUCUAUGGUGCACGCGCUGUUGGCUGACAAGAACAGAAAGUUUAUCUAUGUUGAGAUGGUAAGUUGGCUUCUUUUGAGUCCCUUAUAUGUUGUUUUCUUGAGUUUCUUUGUUGGAUCAAAGUGCUACUGCUCGUGACAAGAGGAAAUUUUGAAGUUGCUUUUUUGGGCUAAAAGUAGUGCUGUGAUGUUCCAAGACACAAUCCGGCAAAGCAUUUCAUUUCCUUUAUGUAGUUCAUGCCUUCCUCUGCAACUUUUUGUACCAAAUUCAUGAUUUAUAUUUCACAUCCUUCUUGUGGCAACAGAUUAAUGUUGCUCCUACAACAAGUUUGAAUUACCUAGACUGUUAAUGCUCGUGACAUUGACAAAUAGGAAUACUAAGAAAAUGAGGAAAACUAUGUUUUUGAAAAUAUGGACUACUUUUAAGGCUUUCUUUAAAUGCUAGUGUGAAAUAUUCUCUCUUGGGAUCAACUCGGUGCGGCUGUGUGAUAGGAUUAACUAGCUAAUGAAAUUGAUGGAUAGGAAUAUCGAGAAAAUUUGACGAUUUGUCUAACACCAAGGCGUCAACUCCAUAUAUAUUUAAAUUCCUUCUACAUUUCCUGUUUUUGUUCCUACCCUGUCAAUGUUUAUAUGCUUGAACGUAGCAUGCAACUAUAUGUUCAUUUUACGUGUUGGCUGUUUCUUCUUAAUUCUUUCACUUUCGUCAAUGCAGGCAUUUUUCAAGAGAUGGUGGAGAGAUCAAAGUGAAGCUGUUCAGGAUGUUGUUAAGAAACUUGUUAGUUCGGGUCAACUAGAGUUCAUGUAAGUACCUUUCUGACUACAGAUUUCAAUGCAAUUAACAACAAAGUCAUUCUUCAAUUGUGAAAUGAAAGCCAUCCUUCACUGUGAAAACAAACUGAUUAAGAAUUCCUUUGUGAGGGUUCCAAUAUCUAUGGGCAAUUAUCUCUCCAUUAUGGUAUUCUUCAAUCGUCUUUUAUUUAGGGAAUGAUGCUAUUUCUUUCCUUUAUUUUCUCCUUGUUACAGAAAUGGCGCCAUGUCUAUGCAUGAUGAAGCAGUUACACAUUACAUAGACAUGAUUGAUCAGACUGCACUUGGUCAUCAAUUUCUGAAAGAGGAAUUUGGUGUGACUCCUAGAAUUGGUUGGCAAAUUGAUCCUUUUGGACACUCUGCUGUGCAGGCCUACCUGUUGGGAGCUGAAGUAUGGCAUAGAUCUUCAAACAAUGAAUCUUAUCAUGACUCUCAAAUUUAGAAAGAAUAUGUUUCUCUUGUAUUUCAAUAAUGAGGGCAAUGGACCUAUAAAUACACAAGCUUGGUAGUUAUUUUGGGAAAUAUAGAUAGCUAAUUCUAAGGAAACAAAUCCCUAUAACUAUGGGAUUGUUUUUAAAUACAUAAUCCUAGCAUUAAUACCAAGAUACACAUGCAAUAAAGAAUAAAAUUAUAGCAGGAAUGUUAUAAACACUUUCUAAAAUACAUAAUGAGCAAAGCAUGAUUUUGAUAAUGACUAAUGAAUAUAUUUUGAAGAAGAUAUAUGUCAAAAGCAUUAUUUGCUAUGUGGGUUAUCAAUUGGUUCUAAUUUGUAUGCAGGUUGGCUUUGACUCACUUUUCUUUGGUCGGAUAGACUACCAAGAUAGGGCUAACCGCAAAAAGGAGAAGAGUCUUGAGGUUAUCUGGCAGGGUAGUAAGAGCCUUGGCUCUUCAGCCCAGGUGAAUAUCAAGAAAUAUGUUUCUUUUCUCUUUAAAUAUUUUAUGGUUGUCUUUGUUAGAGAUCCUACAUUGACUAGGAAUAAUUUUGUGAGGUUGAAUUAGACAUAAGUUUACUUACCAAGAGUCUUUGUAUUUUUAUGAUUGGUUUCUCUUAAAUUAAAUGUUUCCUUUUAUUAUGUUGAGUAUCCUUUUUGUUCUUGCAGAUUUUUGCUGGAGCAUUCCCUGAAAAUUAUGAGCCACCUGCUGGAUUUUACUUUGAAGUUAAUGAUAACUCACCGAUAGUUCAAGUAAUAUUAUAAGAACUUGUUAAUUUUGUUAUCACAUAUAACUAUUUUAGUUCAUUGUUAUGCUAAACUUUGCUUACUUCUUCCUGAAGGAUAACAUGGAAUUGUUUGAUUACAAUGUCCAAGAACGAGUGAAUGACUUUGUUGCAGCUGCAUUAUCGCAAGUAAGUUCAGCAUGUUUAUCUUCAGAUUUCUUAAAAAUGUUAUUUGAAUUUUGAGAUGCAAGAAUAUCAUUAGAAAUUAAAAAUUGAAUUGAGUGAUUGAGAGGUGUUGGGUCUUUCGAGGAGAAUUCACCAAGGAGAUUCAAUGAGCCAAACUCGCGUAAGAUAUUAAUGUAAGUGUUAGAAGUCCCACAUCGACUAGAGAUAAAGUCAAUUUAAAGUAUAUAAAUGGGUGUAAACCUUAUUUUACAAAUUGGUUUUGUAGGACUGGGUUAAAGUCCACCACUUAACAUGUUGGCUCAAGUCAUCUCCCAAUGAAUUUGAUUUAUUAUUUCACUUAAAAUAGUACCAUCUUUUCUUUUCCAUCUUUAAGAACUCUUCUCCAAGCUUAUGAUCUUAGCUUCUCUUAACCACUGAAAAAAUCUCCAAUUCAGCCAUGCUUGCAUUGUCUAUAGGGCAUUAGAUGAUUCAGAAUUGUAUCAUCUAUAGAAAGAUGACUUAUGAGAUUGCUUUCAUUUCAACUACACAAAGCACACAUUAGAACAUUUAGGAAACAUCUAUCCAAUUAUAUAAUGUUAAAUGUAAUUAGCUGUUACAGAUUUGUAGGAAAUUAACAGUUACAUGUUUUAGGAAAUUAGGAUGAUUGAUUCCUGAUUAUUAAGAGUUAUAUAAUUGAUUUUAUAAAUUAGUAUAAAUACAUACUGUGUGGUCUGCAUUACACACACAAUAUAUUUAGUAAAUAUAUCAUUCUAUAUGGUACAUAGUUUAGGGUUUCAAUCUUUGAUCUCCAGUUUUCUAUUUUUUCGGGUGAACAAUACUCGCAGCCACUGUGUGUCACUUUUUCCGUCACCUAAUGUCCCUUCAUUUUGGUGACCACUGCAACCAGAACUGCCUUCCUCCGGUUUAAAGUACAUAUUAUCACAAUUGACCACCACACUUCAUUUGCUGCUUCUGUCCACUUCUGCACCCGCCCAUACGUGUGACCUCUUUCCAGAGCAUACAUUUCACACGCCCAUCUCAGAUUUUUUUUUUCUUUUUUUUUUCAUUUCGACACAUUAUCCAAUUAUAUAACAUUCAGGAAACAUCUAUCCAAUUAUAUAACAUCAUCAACACUCAUGUCAGACAUGAUUUAUCAAGUCAUCUAGGCAAAUUCUAUAGACUAGACUCUCUAAUUAAACUUAUCUAACUAGAUCAUAUAGUGCCUUUCCUCUACCUAGAACACCUAUCAUCUAACAUGGUUUAAAAAGAUGAUUUUAAUGCAUAAUUUGAUUUAAAGUUCAUAUUAUCACAAUUGAUCAAAUCCCAGUUAAAACAAUGGAUUUUUAAACUCAAUUAUAGCUCAAGAUAGCUAUAAUUAAGUAUUCUAAAAGCAGGAAAACAAAUCUUUAGUGAUGUAAAAAAUCAUUACUGUCAUGGGGACAAUGACCAGGCUUACUAUCCAUGACAAAAUACUUACGAACACAAAACUCAGACACAUUAGAUUUUGUAGUAUAAUUGCAUAAAUUACCAAUCAGAAUAAAUUUUUUUAUUUUUAUGUCUUGAUUAAGGCAUAUGUUUACUAUCUAGCUGAAUAAGAUUUCUCCUAUACAAAUCGAAUCAACAACCAAAAAAUUGAAUGACUAGCCUUACCAACUUGUUCCAAUUUCCAUAAUUGGUUUUUGUUGUGGAAUAACUCAAAACAAUUUCGCUGCAUAAGCGUCUACCAUACAAUAACAUGAUAUUAGAUAAACUGCAAAAUAAACAAUUAGAAGGUAAAAAAAGGAAGAAUAAGGAAAAAUCACAAUAGAAAAUAAGGUGGUUAAAUUGAAGUGCUAAAAAUUACAGCUUGAAGUUUCUCUCUAAGUGAAGUUGAACAACAACUUUCAAUUGAAAAAAUUGUUGAUAUAUCUUCCUAUUUAUGCAGCAUAACUACCUUAAUAACUUCCAUAAAUCACACCUAAACAAGCCAAGAAAAAUAUGUGAACAUUGCUUUCACUACUGAGUUUGAAACGUCACUUAUGUAGACUCUUUAGAUGAUACGAGUCAAAGAGGAAGUUAAAGUCCGGAUGCAAGUAGACAAUCUGAUGUCAUCAAAUGCUUUUAUAAAAGACAAAAGCACUGAUGAAGAUGUCCUGAUGAAGUCAGACUCACUUGAACCAUUAGAUGAUCUGGAAGAGUUAGACGAACUAGGAACCUUAAAAGGGUUUUACCGAGUCAGUCCUCAAAGUUUUCAAAAGGAAUAAAUUAAACUGUAAACAAGAACUCAACCAUGACCUUAAAUUUAAAGCAAAUGGAAAAAACAGAAAAAGAUAAUAUUAGUAUGUAAUAAUCUAUCAGAUUUUCUUAUAGUUGGCGCUUUUAAAAGAUGUUUCCAACCUUCUUUAAUGGAAAUCCAUUUCAACCAAACUGACAUGUUCUUAACUUGAAGCUUGAAUAUGAAUUUUAAUUUUGCUAUUGAGUUUUUGGAAUAGCGGGAACCUUGAUUGCUUUUAUUUACGCUAUUUUAUUUUUAGGCAAACAUAACUCGAACAAAUCAUAUCAUGUGGACAAUGGGAACUGAUUUUAAGUAUCAAUAUGCACAUACAUGGUUCCGGCAGCUGGACAAACUCAUUCAUUAUGUAAACAAGGUAACUCACUCGUAUACAUGAAUUUAUUUGUUUGUGGUUUGACUUCAUGUCUUUAUUCUUGUUAUUAUGAAUUCUGAUUGUUAAAUAUUUUUCAACUUUAGGAUGGACGUGUUAAUGCUCUGUACUCUACGCCAUCCAUAUAUACUGAUUCAAAAUUUGCUACCAAUGAGUACUGGCCAAUCAAGACUGAUGAUUUCUUCCCGUGAGUUUAAUAUGUAGCUGUUUCAUAAUCCAUUUUGCUUAAUUAUUAUAUUUUUGUAUGGUAUGACGUUUCUCCUCAUAUACCCAUGAACAAAAUACCAGUUAUGCAGAUCGUGCAAAUGGUUACUGGACAGGAUACUUUACCAGUAGACCAGCAAUCAAACGCUAUGUCAGAUUAAUGAGUGGCUACUACUUGGUAUGAUUUGUAUAUUUAUAGUUUACAAGGUAAUAAUCAUCUUUAGUCCACUAGUUUUUGGAUAUUUACUUUCUACAAAAAAAUUAUUAGGCUGCAAGACAACUAGAAUUUUUUAGGGGGAGAAGGAAUUCAGGGCCAAAUACAGACUCGUUAGCUGAUGCUUUAGCAAUUGCUCAACACCACGAUGCAGUCACUGGCACAGAAAAGCAGCAUGUUGCCAAUGAUUAUUCUAAACGGUUGGCAAUAGGCUACAAGGAGGUGCAGUUUCAGAGUCUGUUUCAAGUUACUCUGUAUAACCAUUUGUUAGUGAAUCGUCUAGUGGCAUAUUGUUUUUUUGCAGGCAGAGGAAUUGGUUUCAUCCUCACUGGCCAGCUUGGUUGAAUCACCAUUGCAUUCUAGAUGUCAAAACCCAGUUACAAAGUUUCAACAAGUAAAAGAUCUAGAAUCUUUUUAAGUUUGUUCACUAUUUGUAUUAUUUGCUGAAAUGGCUUGCUUCUUCCUUGUCUUAAUUUUUUUUUUUUCAAAAUUUUAGCUGUUGAUAAAUGAUUUCUUAUCCUUUAUUAUUUCUUAGCUCAAUUACCGUUUGGUGUAUGUCAUGUCAAACCUGAUUUUGUUUUAGCUGUUGAUAAAUGAGCUUUGUGCCUUCCCCUUUAUCACAAAAAAGAUUAUAAUAACUAUUAGAUAUGAUAGUUUUUUAUUAUCAUAUUUAAGUUCGAGUUUUUUAUAUUUUCAAUAUACUUUUUCCUUUUUCAUAUUUUACAGUGUCCACUUUUGAACAUAAGUUAUUGUCCUGCAUCAGAAGUUGAUCUGGUUCGAGGGAAGAAUUUGGUAAAAUUCAUCACAUAUUUUGUUAUCCUUUCAUCAGUUAUAUUGUUUUAUAUUUAUUUCUUAAAUUCUAUCUUCUCACGAGUUUUUUCCAUGCUUAGGUCAUUGUGGUUUACAACUCUCUUGGUUGGAGGAGGAAUGAAGUCAUUCGAUUUCCAGUGAGUGAUGUCACUCUAGUAUUUGUUGAUUGUUCUAAAUUCAGUGUAUGGUGGAACAUAGAGAAGUUAAAACUAAAACGAUGAAAAUAAUCAUAAUCUUUAUCUUUUUUGCUCAUCUAGUGGUCUUCAAUCAUGAAAUAUUAAUGUAUCUUCAAUAUGUUAGAAAGUUCUUGGAGAAACUGAUAUGAUAUUUUAUUAUUUUUAUCUGUGUGAAGCUGAAUACAAAAGGGAGCAUUUAUAAUGGCUACCCUUGAUAGCAAAAACCCAAAAUGCCCAAAACAAACUCACCAAAUUUAUAUUUAUUUAGUCUAUUGCAUCCUAAUAAAAGUCAGAUGUAAAAUACACCAACUGACUAUGUUAGUUAUCAAAUGAGCUGACAUAAUCAGUUACCAACUAAGCGUGUAUGUUGGGAAGUCUGAUAUCCGCUGCCUCAAUUCUUGGAGUGAAGCAUAUAUAACUAUUAGAAAACUUCAAUUGAUAAAAAUUAGUUUUAAGUUGAAAUUUGACAUGGUAUCAAAGCUUAUUGAUAACAAUUAGUUUUGAUAGGCUGCCAUGGUUUGACAAGCAUCUAUAGAGGGGUGAUGUUGAGAAUGUCCAACAUUGUCUGUCCCAAUUCUUGGAGUAUGGUUUAUAUAUGUAUUGGGAAAGUUCGCAUAAUCCAAAUUGGUUUUAAGUUGAAUCUGCCAAUAUAUAGCUAACAAAGCCUGCUGGUACACUUGGCUACUAACUUCCUAAUAGAUUUUUAUUUAGGGCAGCUAUUAUGAUGUUAAAGGUUUUUGAGAUUGAUGUUUUAAUGCACUUAAAUAUAUAUAAUAUUUGCUUAAAUGGGCUAGUAAAUUUCUCUUUAACUAUUGUAGUACUUACUCGUGUGUGUGUAGAUGUAACUAAUGUUGCGACCAUCUUCAGGUUACUGAGGCCAAUGUUAGAGUUCAGGACUCUAACGGUUCAGAAAUAGAAUCCCAACUUCUUCCUCUGGCUGAGAAAUAUUUAGACUUAAGAAACUACUAUGCGAAAGCAUAUAUGGGUCAGGAUCCACUUAAGACACCUAAGUAUUGGCUUGCAUUUACAGUUUCUGUACCUCCACUUGGUUUUAGCACCUACACUGUCUCGACUGCAAAAAGAACAGGUUCAAAUAUAUAUUGCUUUAGUAUUUAAUUUACAAGAGUUAAUUUCCAUGCUCAUAACAAAGAAAUGAUUUCUAUUUGAUUUCAGGAUCAACUAGAUCGUCAGUAGCGACAUAUAAAAGUAGUGAAAAGUCUAAAUUUGAAGUAGGUCAAGGAAAUUUGAAGCUUACAUUUUCUACUGAUCAAGAGAAGUGUACCAAUUACGUUAAUAGAAGAAACCUGGUUUGUGAUACUUCACUUUGCACCACAUGAUUCCCUUUUCACUAGAACACCUUUAUCUGUGCAAUCAUGCCUCUGUAUUUGUGAUGUUCUCUUUACUGUUUUCAUGUUUUCAUAUAUUCUUUAGCUUCGAAUUUUACAUGGACAGAAAAAUGUAAAAGCAAAAGAAGUAAAACUUGAUUAACAAUGUUAUUUUUUGAAAUGUAAGGUUGAGGAACAGGUUAAACUAAGUUACCUCUACUAUUCUGGAUACAAUGGAACCAAUCAAAAGGAUCCGCAGGUAGAUAAACAUUUUGACCAUAGAUAUCAAUGUCAUACGGGUUCAAUAUGUUUUUUAUCUCUGUAAAUAUAGAAAUGUUCACUUUUAGUACCCAAAAGCUGUCUUCUUUUUUCCCUUUUUUAUUGAAAUAGGGACCAUACAUGACACAUUUCCACAAAGGAGGGACCAAUGAGUGGAUAGUUUUUUCAGGAAUUAAAAGUGAACAUAAUCCUAUUUUCAAAUGAUAAACUAAAAACAUAUUUAUCCCCUUAAGUCUCUCACAAUUCUACUUUGGAUAUAACUUCAUAAUUUAAUUCCCCUCACAGAAUUCCGGGGCCUAUGUCUUCCGUCCAAAUGGCACAUUUCCAAUAAACCAUGAAAAAAAGGUUUGAAGUCCUUCCUGCUAUAUUCUAAUCCAACAAACGAAUUCCCAUAACAAGUGUCACAUUCGAUUGAAUUUUCAGGCUCUAUUAACUGUUUUGAAUGGACCGGUACUAGAUGAAGUUCAUCAACAAAUCAAUCCAUGGAUAUAUCAGGUGUUUUGCUUGUUACAUCUUUAACAGCAUCUUCAUAUUGUUUUCUUAUUAAUAAUAAUAAACUUCUUUCCCAUUUAGUUACAUGAAAUUGUGGUCACAUAAUAAUUUAAAUAAAAUGUGGUGUGUAAAAAGGAAGACGGGAACUGCAUGUUAACUUCUUGACAAUCUUAAUAUGAUAGUUUUUAAUUAUUUAUAUAGACAAUACAAUUGAUUUUAUUAUAGUUUUUCCUCUAUAUGAUAAUUAUGGCUUCACCUUACUUUCAAAAUUUUAGGUGCAACAGGUCUUAAUAUUUUACAUUAUGCAAUUUACUUUAAUGUUCUUUUACUUUAAGUAAACAAAAAGAGUAAAUAAAGCUUAGGGAAUGCCCUUAGUGCCAUCCUGGUAAUUUAUUUUGCAGUCUCAAGUGUUGCAAAAUAAUAAAUGAAUUUUGCCAUAAAUAGCCUAGAGACAGUCUUAUCCAUCGGCCCAAACACUUAAUAAAGUAGGUCCCACUUCAUGAAUGAGGGCUAGCGAAGUGGAACCAAUCCCAUUAUCAGUACCUGUUCUACUCCAGUUUCUAUUUGCCCCAGCUCCUAAUUUUUUCUAUAAUUAUAGUAAUAAAUGUUGAUGAAUGAGACUUUUUAUCUUCUUUUUACCUGACAUUAGAAAUUAAUAUGCUUCAAAUAUGUCCGCAGAUUAACAGACUAUACAAAGGAAAAGAGCAUGUUGAAGUGGAGUUUAUCGUAAGCUUUAAAUAAUUGGUUAUUAUAUUUACAUUUGUGUCAUUCUCCUAGUCAUGUUACAAUUUGUCUGUGACAGUUUGAUUUCCUUUGUAGUCUGGUAAAUACCGUGAUAACUAUUGAGAUAUAUUCUUAUAUGGAUUUUAUGGAUAAUGUUGGAAUAUCAGGUUGGCCCUAUACCAAUUGAAGAUGGAACUGGUAAAGAAGUUGCCACUCAGAUUUCAACUACUAUGGAAACCAACAAAACAUUUUACACGGAUUCUAACGGGCGAGAUUUUAUCAAAAGGGUAUGCAGAUCAGACUAAUGUUCCUUGUAAUACUACAUCUAAGUAAUUUAGAUCAUACAUAAUUGUUGGCACCAGAUGUUACCUUGCUUAAGUUUUCAUUAUAUUCUUUUGUUGAAAUUCUUUGGUUUAAGGUAUAGAGAGAGGGAAUGGAGAAAACGAAGAUUGAUACUAAUAAUCCGAAUUGAAAAAAGAAUCAGAUCAUAAAAUACUAAAGCGUGGAAACUUAGAAAAUAAAGAGUUUGAUACUUAGAGAUAUUUUUAAGAUACUCUAAGGUAUUCUGAAGAUAUAAUAUCGACAAAGAUGACCUUGGUUGUGGGAAUCUAAGAGAAGAAACAAGGGAGUCUAUCAGGCAAUAAAAUAACUGAUUGUGUUAUUUCUAAAACUGAUAUUGACUUGAUGUGAUAUGUUUGCAGAUACUCAAAUAUUCUGAAAGAUGUAAUAUUGAUAUUCUAAGAUAUUCCAACAUCUUUCUAUUUCCAAAUGCUGGGUUUUGUUGCAAAAUAUAAUUCUCUCAUGGAAGUCAAGAAAUGGAAACAACAUAUCUUUUUAUUUGAUCUUAAAUUUGUUGAUGGCAUAUAGAAGUAUCUGCAAAAAGUUUUCAUUUCUUUUCCUUCAGUUGUAAAGUAAAUUUUUGGAACUCAUCUCUCUGCAGAUACGGGAUUACAGAACUGACUGGGAUCUGGAAGUGAACCAACCCGCUGCUGGAAAUUACUAUCCUGUAUGUGAACUCCUAUACAACAUUUCUGUUAUAUUCAUCAUUGGUGUUCAAGGCCUAGUUUCCCCCUCUUUCCUGCAGGGAUGCUAUUGCUGAAACUGUUGUGCUUGCAAACUGUUGUUUGUUCUUGUAUGAUAAAUUAUGAAACUUCUAAUAAUAAACUUCAUUUUUUUAACUUAUUUAGCUUAUUGAAAUCAUUAUUUCAUGAGCUUUGUAAGUCAUCCACAUGCAAAUCCAUUUUAGAAUUAAUUGCAGAGAUGUAUGCCCAACCACACUUCAUAAUUCAGACUGUUUUCUUUAAGGCACAGGAGUUUGAUAAAUUCCACAAGUUAUAUCCAUUCUUUAGGUUCUUAAUAUUAUUUAUUUUUAUCCUUCAGAUUAAUCUUGGGAUAUACGUAGAGGAUAAUAAAACAGAAUUCUCAGUUUUGGUGGACCGACCUAUUGGAGGAUCCAGCUUACAAGAUGGACAAAUAGAGCUGAUGGUCCACAGGUAUGUUUUGUUCUUCAAAUGAUGUGUUAAAUAGAAUGAUAUUCUACUGGAGUUACUUGAAAUUAUAAUUAAACUACUCCUAUUUAGAACUUUGCAAGGCCUUGUUUCUUGGAAAUGUGGUCUUUUUCCAUCUAUGGUAAAGUGUGUGAGCAUAUAGAAGGGAGCAAAGCUUUUAAUAAUUAAAAUGUUUUGGAAGAAAGGAGGGGAAGAUUUCUUAGAUGUACAAUUUAGUUAGUGAUUUGGUGCUUUAGUGAAGCAGAAUGCAACGUUUUUUAGAUAACUUAUCUGCUUCAGCUUUUGAAGUGUGGGCAUGUUGGCUGUGUCUUCAUCAUUUAAGAGGUGGGGAUGAAUUGCUUAAUUCAGCAUCACGAUCUCCAUUUUCUCACACUAGAGUUUGGAUUGCUUCUUUCGGAGUGAUAGGAUUAACCCGUGAGUCAAAAUUGGACAUUUUGGACAUCUGAGAUCUGACACGACUUUUUGUGCUCUAAAGUUUUCACAAGAGCUGUGAAAAGUAUUUUUUUGGUGUUAAAAUCUAUAAUUUUCUGUCAUUUAUGUCAUUUUUUUCUUAUGGAAUAAAUGUUGUUAUUCUUACUAGUUUGACCUUGCCAUCAAUAAUUGUUUACUUAUAUUUUUAAUUGGUGAAUUACAUUUCUUAUUAACGUACUACAUAGUUUGUUAGGUUUUCUUCAAUACUUCUUUUUGAAAAAAAAAAUGCUAUUAAAUUUAUUGGUAUUUAUAAAGGAAAUGUGCAAUUGAUUUAAAGUAUUUGGCAUUUUGAUGAACAAAAAAACAUCUGUCAUGGUGUGUUGUUUUUAAAUUUUGAAGUUUUCAUGAAUUCCAACCGUACCUGUCUAAUGUAUUGGUGACUUAGUGGGUGAGGAGGGUCUACUUAGCGGGGAAUAUGCAAUGGUGAUGGACUUCUUUAGUCAAGAAGUCGAUCAACUCUCUCCUCUCACCACAACACAUACAAACAGAACUGAAUGUACACUGUUUUAUUGAUAUAAUGUGAACUGAAUACAAGAAUUACACCCUUCUAGGAAGCCUCUCUUCCUCCACUGGAACAGAGAUCCAGUCUAUACACAAAUUUACAAAAGAAUAAUCCCCGCCCUUAAGCAAACAGACUCAUAUUUAUAGUAUCACUCCCCCUGCCCCUCUACUAACUAACUUACAACCACUUUUCCCGCUUAGUUCCCUCCUUUCUUCUUUCUUCUCUCAUAUACUUUUAAUCCUCUAACAAAUGGUCAAGAGACCUCUCAUUGCUUUUGAUUGCUUGCCCACUCCCACCCCUUACCAUGCAACCAGCAGCAACCCCUUUUUUUUAAGUCUUGUUUUGAGGGUGUCUAUUUUCACUGUUUGAUUCUGUCAUUGUAUUUUUGUUUAUUUUUAAAGGAUUAACCAAAUUUCUUUCUUCUCAUAAACAGGAGAUUACUACUUGAUGAUUCAAAAGGUGUUGCAGAGGCUCUAAAUGAAACCGAUUGUGUUGGUGGUGAUUGCAGGGGUCUAACUGUAAGAAUUUCAUGCAUAUUUUUUAUGUUAUUUAGUUGUUUGUUUCUUUUAUUAAUGUUAGAUGUGUAUUUUUGAGUAUAUAUUCUCAUUUUAUCAGCUGACAAUUUCUCUCAAAUGGGUCUUAAAAUGCUGAUGGCAGAAAAAGGUUUGACAAAUCAAUGUCAAUCCAAUUGUUGCUAAAGCUGACGAAAAUGUCAAUGCCAUAAUUUUGCAUUUAGUGUCAAAAUCCCAUGACCUGCAUUUAAUAUUUUCUUAUACAAUUUUAAUUGCAUAAUUAAGAGAUUUAAUCACAUUCCAUAGUUAAGAGGAUUAAUAGGCUGACGCUAUAUUUUAUAUCUAUUGUAUAGGAUCAUUGGUCCUGAAUAGUAGGAAUAGAUUAUAUCCAAUAUAACUUAGGAUUUUCUGUUAUUAACCAAUUGCUCCUCAAUGAAUAAUAUGAUAACAGUUUUCUGAUAUGGUAUCAAAGUCACUUAAAGCGUAUCCUAUUCAAGUUCUUUGGGAUUAUUAUGCCACUGUUAUCUUAGACCACUCACAAAUACAUAAUCCUAUGUUCUUUCCUCAUAAUGAGGAUAUGUGUUAAAGAUCCCACAUUGACUAGGAAUAAGGCUGAAUUAUAAUGAGUGGGAUGCAAUUUUACUUUACAUGCUGGUUUUGUGAGGUUGAGUUAAACAUAAAUUUGAUAAAAAUAUGUUUAGGCAAAAAGCUCGUGUAUUGAAGAUAAGGAUAAUUCAUUCUCAACAAAAAGACCUCAUUCUUCCAAAAUUAAGUCCCAUUAACACCUCAUCAUCUAUUGAAACUAAUACUUCACCAUCUACUGAGUCUAGUCAUGUUGCUUCACCAAAAAUAAUUGGAGAAAAAACUCAUUGUUACCCAUCCAUUGUAGGUAUACUCGUGAAGGAGAAGGUCUGUUAUUCAACCACCACUAUUGAAACUAAUACUUCACCAUCUACUGCGUGUAGUCAAUUAUGUUGCUUCACCAAAAAUAACUGGAGAGAAAACUCAUUGUUACCCAUCCACUCUAGGUAUACUCGUGAAGGAGAAGUUCUGUUAUUCAAUCACAAGUCCAUGAAUAUGAAUCUAUGCCUAAAAUACCUGACAUUAAUGAAGAAUAGAAUAUGCUAACCAUUGAAGUUUGGGACAUUCCAAUUGCAGUACGGAAAGGUGUUAGAGGAUGUACUCAGAAGCCAAGGUACCCAUUGUCACACUUUGCGUCCUAUGACAAACUAUCCCGUAGUCACCAAAGCUUUCUUGAUCAUCUAAAUACUGUCACUGUUCCAAAAAUUAUGGAUGAGGCACUCGAUAGUAAUAAUCGAAAAAAUGCUAUGAAGGUUGAAAUGAUUGAUCUAGAAAAGAACAAAACUUGGGAAUUAGUGGAUCUACCUAAAGGAAAAAAUCUUGUCGGAUGUAGGUGGGUAUUCACUAUUAAAUCCAAGGCAGAUGGGACAUUAGAAAGGUAUAAGGCUAGGCUUAUAGCUAAGAGUACUCAAACAUAUGGGAUUUACUAUCUUGAAACUUUUUUACUUGUCGCAAAAAUGAAUAUAGUUAGAAUUUAUUGUCUCUAGCAGCUAACUAUGAAUAACUAUAAAUAGAGUUUGUAACAAUUUGAUGUUACAAAGGCCUUUCUACAUGUCAAUCUUGAGAAAGAACUUUACAUGGAGGUUCCACCUAGGUUUAAAGUCGAGGAGAGAAAGGUGUGUAAACCCUGGAAGGUACUCUAUCUAUUGAAACAAUCUCUUAGAACAUGGUUUCACAGGUUUAUUAUAUUAAUGAAGAUCAUGGGUGGGUACAAGCAAAAGGCAAAGUGACCGUAUAUUGUUUAUUAAGCAUUCAUCUUCAGCGGAAUUACUGCACUAAUUGUGUAUGCAGAUGAUAUAGUUCUAACCGGAAAUGAUCAGGUAGGAAUGGAAGCUUUAAAAAAAUGUUUGAUAACGGAAUUUGAAAUCAAGGAGUUAGGUAGAUUGAAAUAUUUCUUGGGCAUUGAAGUGGCUCAUUCCCAUCAUGGUAUUUUCCUCUCCAAACAAAAAUAUGUGCUGUAUUUAUUGGCUAAAACUGAUAAAUUAGGAUGCAAACUAAUUGAGACACCUAUUUAAUAAAAUCACAAACUUGGUGAAACAAUUGAAGAUGUAGCUGUGGAUAGAAAAUCUAAUCAAAGACUGGUUAGGAAAUGGAUCUACUUGUCUCACACUAGGCCCGACAUUGCCCAUUCUCUAGGAGUUCUAAGUUAGUUCAUUCGUAAUUCAAGAGGAGACUCAUCUCAAAAUUGUUUAUCACAUUCUAUAGUACUUGAAAGAAACUCCUGGAAAGGGGAAUGAGAUGAUCUUAGAAGUCUACACAAAUGCUGGCUAUGCAGGUUCUAUAGAUGAUAGAUGAUCUAUCUCUGGAUAUUGCACUUUGAAGAAAUUUAGUCAAUUGGAGGAGCAAAAGAAAAAAUGUUGUGGCAAGGUCAAGUAGGGUUUAGAGCCAUGGCCUUAGGGAUUUGAUAAAUACUAUGGUUAAAGAUAAUUUUAGAAGACCUGAAUAUUGAUUGGAAGAACCCUGUGAGAUUGUAUUGUGAUAACAAGUUAGGAAUAAAUAUUGCACAUAAUCCAGUGUAACAUGAUAGAACUAGGCAUGUUGAAGUCGAUCAACACUUCAUAAAAGGAGAAAUUGGGUAACACCACAACCAUUUGUAUCCUUUGGAAACCAACUUGUAGAUGUAUUGACAAAAAGGCUAAGUGGUGUUACAUUUCAGUCUAGUGUUGGCAAAUUGAGAAUGAAUGACAUCCACUCACCAACUCGAGGGGGUGUCAGAAUUCUAUGAUUUAUGUUGCAGUUAAUAUUUGCUUAUAAAGUUUUAAUUACAUAAUUAGGAUAUUUAAUUACAUUUCAUAAUUAGGAGGAUUAACAAGCGGAAAGUAUAUUUUAUAUUUUUUGUACAAAUCAUUGAUUCUAAAUUGUAGGAAUAGAUUAUAUUCAUUAUAAAUUAGGAUUUUCAAUUAUUAAGUAUUUGUAUUCUAUCUAGGAGCAAUUUCUCCUCUAUCAAGAAUAUUAGAAACAAUUUUCUAACAUUUAGAAAUGUUUAAUUGAUAUAUAAAUGAGAAAGAAAUUUGUCAAUUUUCAAUUGCUUUCUAAAAAGGAUUUAUUCCCAAUGUUGUCAACAAAUUAUGCCUACCCAAAUUUUUGGCAGUGUGUAGUUUUGGCUGUUAAUGUAUUUGACUGGAGCAGUUUUCCUGCAUUUUGUUUAAUGUCAUUCAUGGAAAAUGUCUGCUGUAUGAUUUAGAUUUUCAUAACUGGUAAUAUGUCACUGACAAUCUAUGUUGUAGGUCCAAGGCAAAUAUUACUACAGAAUAGACCCCUUAGGCGAGGGUGCUAAGUGGCGUCGUACUUUUGGCCAGGAAAUAUAUUCUCCACUUCUUUUAGCCUUUGCUGAAAAGGUAAAAUUGAAUACUGCAAACAAAAUACUUCUUUGUUAGAUAUAUUGCAUUUUAUGUUAAUUAAGUAAACAUAGGCCAUGUUAAUUAUGUUAUUUUUCAUAUUCAUUUGUAUUUGGGCUUAGCUUACAUUUUCAUUAUUAUAAAUACAUUACCUAUGUGUAUUUUCUAUAUAAAGAAGAUUAAUCCUAUACCUAGUUUUACUCUAUUCAACAUGGUAUCUAGAGCCUAAAGCUUUUGAUAGUCAAUAUUUGAAUUUUGAAUUCAUUGGGAGAGGAUUCUCUUGGUCCUUGUCAUAGAACACUUUCUUAUCAAAGGGUGUUGGUGUGGCAAAUCUUCACUGACUUAUCAAUCGGCUAAAUUGUGGGAUCUCCAUCUCAAUCUUAUUUUUGUGUUCUUCUCUUAUUUUCGUUAUUUGUUACGAGAGGAACCAAAUUCAGAAAUGAUUGUACCUUUUUCUAGAUAGGAUCGAAUUAGUUGGGCAGCUAUCAAUUGCAUUGAGCUCGUUUCCUUCUCCUCUUUCAGGAUCUAUGCUUGUUGCCUUGACUAGAAAACCUUGGUUUUCUAGGGUUUUUUCUCUCUCUGUGGUAUCUUUUGCUGCUUCUUCUAAUAGUGCAAACCAAUUUACUCUUUUCAAUUUUUAAAUGAUAUGAGGAUCAUCAGAACACUAGUUUAACUAUUUCUGUUGCACGCACAUCUUAUUUUUUUUGGCCUAACUCAACCUUCUUCCCUUGGACCAUGGGUUCUUGACUUAGGUGCCACAAAUCACAUCACUGGUAACAAAUCUUAGUUUUCUUCUUUAUCCUCUUCCGGGUAAUUUGCCUACGAUUACAAAUGGGUCUAGGGUCUUAUCUCAUGUUGGUACUAUUAAUCUUUUUCCAUCUUUAACCAUUGAUAGUGUUUUUUAUGCCCCUGGAACCCCUUUUAAUUUAUUAACCAUUAGUAGUCUAAUUCGUUCUCAUGAUUAUGUUAUUUCUUUUACCAAAAACUCUGUUCACAGGACCAGAGUUCAGGACAGAUAUUUGGCACCAGAUUUGAGUCUCAUGUCUUUUAUCAUCUCUGCCCUUGUACACAUGUUGGCAUAGUUUUGCAUACUAUCUUUCUCAGCAUCCAUACCUAUUUUUCCCUCUUUCGUUCAUUUCAUGACAGAUUUCUCACUUCCUUCUAAGCCCCUCCCAUGACUCAUGAGUUCUUGCAGCAUUUCUUUUAUUUCUUGGACGAUUUCCCUUAAAUCUUGCAUACUGUCUUCUUUGUUUUUUUUUUUUUUUCUGUCAUGGCUCUUCCUUGUUUGAUGGCCCCUCUAUCCAAAGUACUUUACUUUGUCUUCCAUGCUUUCACAUCUUCCUCUAUCCGGAAAAUUUGUUAGGUUCUUAGGUAGAGAAAGCCAAGAAAACUACUAUAAAACACCAAAGCUUACCGAAAAGAUAUGGUAUUAUUGAUUCUAAGCACCCAGGAUAGCAAGAAUGCCUCCAAGGGACAAAGCUCCCUUACAUGAUGGUAAUGAUCCUAUCAACAAUUCUCUAGACAUCCAAAAACAACUCACCACCUCGCACCCCUCCCCCGGCACACCCCCUCCCCCUCCCCAACCCCAACCCAUCCCACCUACAAACACCUCCUCCACUAUAUAAAGAAAGUCUCACUCAACCCUAACAACCCAACUAACAACUAAUUUUUUAAUUUGUUUCCUCAUAUCAUACACAUUGAUUGUCAUUUCAUUUAAGAAAAGAUUAUAUAUGGAGACAUCAAGACUGAGUUUGUCAACGCAAAUGAUCAAUUAGCAGUUAUUUUCAUUAAGUCUUUACGGAGACCGAGAAUUGAUUAUAUUUGUAAAGAGUUUGAUACAUACGAUUUAUAUGCACUAACUUAUAUAUUACGUUUUAUGUUAAUUAGAGAAACAUAGUUCCUAUGUUAAUUAUGUUAUUUUUACUAUUUAUUUAUAUUUGGCUUAACCCACAAUCUCAUUAUUAUAAUUACAUUACUCUAUACGUAUUUUUUAUACAAGGAAGAUUUAUCAUAUACCUAAUUUUACUAUAUUCGACAUUCUUGAACAUAUAUCUACUUUUUAUUUGAUAAAUUUUGAACAUUUAGAAUUAUAUCAUGUAUCAGGUACUAAAGGUCUAUUUCAUUGUGCAGGAUGAUAAAGAUGAGUGGAUGAAUUCCCAUGUAUUAACAUUUUCAGGAAUAGAUUCUUCUUACGCAUUACCUGAUAAUAUAGCUAUUAUAACAUUACAGGUAUAUAUGUCUUCAGCUUAAAGGGAUUUCCUUAUCCUCAAUAGUAUUAGUUCAGUAACAAUUGAAUUUACAGGGCUAAUACAAUGAUGGUAUCAAAACUUUGUUUUCUUUGUGCUGUGUGUGAGGAAGUGCACAUAUGUUAGGCCAUCAAGAUCAGAAGGGUGGAAACAGAGAGAAAGAGAAAGACAUAGAGAAAAAGAAAUCAAGGAACAUUCAGUUCACCAAAAAUAAUUUAUACAUAUCUCUUUCACCUUCUUGUUAUAACUAAUCGAAUACACAUUACUGAUAUAACCAAUGUUCAACAACUGAUGGCUAUGAAAACAAUAAGAAACUAUACUCCAUAAAUUUUUCUGGAACUCGCAGUACAAAUUGAAACCUGAGAAUUAAAGGGUUGAGAAAUUAAUCAAUGAAACCAUAACACGUGUUACUUGUUGUAUAACAAUAACACCUUACCCCACUAAAUGAUCUCUUUUCCUUCUAGAUAGACCUUCAAUUUUGCAACCUCUUGGUUCCUAACAAUUUAUGAAAUCUGUUGUGUUAAAAUUCUAUGGCUUCUAAUAUAUCUAUUUUCUUGGACUUUGCAGGAACUUGAAGAUGGGAGGGUUCUUCUACGGCUAGCACAUCUAUAUGAGGUAUAUCCACUUCAUCUUAUUUAGUAUUUCUCUCGACUUUUUCUUUGACUUAAGAUUUGAAAAGAGAAGUUGUAAUGUUUUAUUGGUACCAUUGCUCUUGUAUGUUUAUUUCAUGAUUUUUCUGGAUUGAAAAUAAAGUGCACUGAUUAAUACAUGAAUGGAGAGAAUGCAUUGUUUUCUUCUAAAAUAAUAAUUGCAGUUUUGUUGGAAUAAAUCAGUGAACCUAUUAGUGUUGGAGAAAACUGUUCCAAGACUUGCACAAGUUUUGUGUAGAAUGGAUUACUGCCAUGGUGAUUGUUUGCCAACUAAAUAAAUACGUCAUGGUUUUUACUUAUGAAUUUUAAGCUCAUUAGAUUAUUCAUAAUCUUUUUCUACUGUAAUUAAUAGUUAAUAGAAAAUUAAUUUGCUUCAUGCUUUGGUCCCUCAUUUUCUUGGCCCAUCAAACUAAUGCACACAGAUUGAAGAAGACAAGGAUCUCUCUGUAACGGCAACUGUGGAGCUGAAAAAGCUCUUCCCUGGGAGGAAGGUAAGUGAUAGGUUUCAUUUCAUGAGAGUAUAAAAUUGUUUUUUACACUUUUUUUAGCUUGAUUUCUAACUCAAGUUCUUUCCUUAAAAAAUAGAUCAAAGAGGUAAAGGAGAUGAACUUAUCUGCCAACCAAGAAAGAACAGAGAUGGAGAAAAAAAGACUUCAUUGGAAAGUAGAAGGCUCUAAUGGAAAUAGACAUGUUUCAAGAGGAGGACCCGUUGAUCCAAAAGAGCUAAAGGUGGAGCUUUCUCCAAUGGAAAUCCGCACUUUUAUCAUUUAUUUUGAUGCUGUUUCAGACCAACUUUUUUAUGCGAUGUAGAACAAAAUCAGUGGUCCAAGUCCUUGCUUUUGAACAAGUAUAUUGGUAUGACACAAAUAUUAAUGUUUCAAAUACUAGUAUGUUUUGCAUAAUUCCAUAUCUUGCUUGAAGAUUAGUUAUAGCCUAUUUCUUUCAUACUCUUAUCUGUGUAGGUUUUACAUAACAUGCUUAUAUUCCACUAAUCAUUCCCUAACUUGUGCAUGUGCAUCAUAUUUUAAAAUUUGUAGAAAAUCAUGUAUAGUCUAACAUGCCAUGACAUGUUUAAUAAAAUCUUUAUGUAAUGAAAAUGAUAAUUAUCAUGAAAUUAUUUGGAACAUGCUACAACAUGAAUUUAAUAAAUAAACAAAUUGUGUUGAUUGUUACAACGAGAACACAUAUUAGUUAGUCGUUACAAUCUAUGAUUGAAUAUUAAUGUUUUUUUAAACGUGUUUUUCUAAACACAUUUCAAAAUGCAUUCUGAAACGUAUCUCAAAUUUCAGAAUGUGUAAAAUUAUUUAAAUAUACUCUAGAUUAUGAAAUUUUGGAAUGUACUUUCAGAUCCAAAAGUACAUCUUAAAAUAUACAAUUCAAAAUGAUUUUUAAAUAUAUUCUAGAUUGUUCAUUUUAGAAUGUAUUUAAAAUACACAAUAUGAAAUAUGUUAAAUUUUUUAAAUACAUUAUAGAAUUCAUUUAGACUCUACCAUUGAAAAACAAUCAAAACCUAUCACAAUCGAAACCUGAUUAUGGACAUUUUGUUAUAGGAAUCUGAGUACAAAAAUUCCAAAAAGCAUUAUCCAGAAAAUUUAAGCAAUAUUCAUUCUGAAAAUUCCUUUUUCAGAAGGUAAAAACGUUAUUUUGAAAAAUUUUGGGUGUGUACAAAGAAAUUGUGGAAGUGCUAGAAGUAGAAUUUAGGAAAUAUAAAGAGGAGUAAAAGUGAAUGAGGCCGAACUGUUUUUCAAUCUUAACAUGUAAAUAUAGUGUCUCUUACUACACCCCAGUUUCUUCUUCCUGCACCACCACAAAAUCAAGAAUUCCCAAAGUACCACACAUUAAAUUAUGAUAAAAAUCCUCACUCCACCUCUAUUUUCAUAUUUUCUGAAUUGGAUAUUUGAUAUUCAACCUGAAAGGUAUAAAAAAAAUAAACAAGUGUUCUGAAAAGUAUUCCCAAAUUCAAAAAUAUCUUUUAAACCACCCCGUUUCCGGAAAGUUUUUUAUGUUCUGGAAUAGCUAUUUUAUAAGGUAUUUUCGAACAUAUAAACGAUUUCCGAAAUAAGUAUUCUUGAAAAUAUUUCCGAACCCAGAAAAUAAUUUUUGAAACAAUCAAUUCGAAAUUUUUUUUAAUAUUAUUUUUGGAAGGCAUUUUUCGUAUCCAGACAUAUUUUGCAGAUUGUCCAAAUUUCCCUUCUCCUUCAGUCGUUCACCACUCAUCCAUCUUCACGCCUUCGUUAAAGAGAAUCAUAACAAUGUUAUAUGAUUCAGUGCAGAGAUGAUUUCUCCAAUGUAUAUUGUUCCCAUGCUUGAAGGAUAGUGUCAAGGUAUGUGCAGCAGGAAUGAGCCAAUGAGAAGAGUAGGUGUGCCACGAAUGAGAGGAGGUGCAAGAAGUAGCAGGUUUGAUUGUUGGAAAAAACAAGGGAUGAAUUGAAAUGAACUGUAAUGAAGUAUAAUGGAAUAAAAGUUCUAUUUGUUAUUGUUUUAAUAUGACAGAGUGAAAAUUUUGUUCAGUUAAAUAUCAUCAUUUUCACGAAAAAGGAAGAGGGAAAUUAAGGUAAAUAAUGGAAAGGAUCUCACCAAAUGAAUCUACGCAUCCAGCAAAAAUUGGAUAUGCAUGCCUUGCAUUUUUCGUUCAGAGAAAUUUCUGGUAGAAUGUUAUUUAUGCUUUCUCCUGCACAAAGCAUUCUAUUUAAAUGGGGGCAUCUUCCUUAUAGUAGAGGUAUCGUUUGAUUCAACGUGAGCAUAGUAUUAUGUAUAAAAAGUAUAAACAAAACUAUUAUAUUACCAUCAAAUUUAAAUGAAAUUGGUUUUUGCAAACUUAAUUUUGAUGUGAAGUUAUUUGGGUACUGCAUCUGUUUUUCAUUCGAUCGUUAGCCACAAACACCACUAGAAAAUUCAGUAGCUUGGUAAUAUCAUGCUAGUCACUUGAUCAUAUGUAACUUUAUGAUACAAAGUAGUAUAAAAGAAUACACGACAAUAAUUCUUAAAGCUUUUACACUGCUUAUUGAAGUUCCCAGUAAUAUAGUGUACCUAAUGUAUGGGACAAUAAAAACAUCCUAAUUUGAUUUCGACACAAAUAUCAACAAGUAGGAAGUUUAAUAUACAUAAUGAAGCAAAUCGUAUCUUACGCAUUCUCUGGUGGUGAUUGAUCAGAAGGUCUGACAAGGUGCUCUCUGAUUUGAUCUUCAUGCUCCGUAGUGGUAUCCGAUUUGGAGGAUUUGUUUCCAGCAUAAAGAAUAUAAUGUUGAAUAAUGAAGAUAAUGUCGAAGAAUACAGACACCUGCAGUUAGUAUUGCACAAAAAAAAGUCACAAAAAAAGCCUCUCUCAACAGUGUAUGACUGGCCUAAUAAACAAGCAUAAUUUACUAGGCACAAGCUCCGUCUAGAUCUAUGCAAAAUGAAAAAUUGGUUUCUCAAUACAUGCAUCUACUAAGUAGUGAGCCAUCACUUUUGAAUAAAAAAGAAAUCAAUCUUCAACGGAAAAUAACUUCAAAAUUAGAAUAAAGAUUACAAAACAAAAAGAGAAUCAGUAUUUGAAUCACAACUGCAUGCAAAAUAUAUAAAAAAAAAAAAAAGAAAAAAAAAAACAAUUAUAACGCAAGAAAGAAGUAAAAGAAUCCUCAAGAGAGCUUCCCAUACCAGAGAUAGUAACACUUUUCCUAUAUUCCCGUAGAAGUUGACCCAUGAAUCUAGAAAGAUGGGAUUUAAAAUAAGUUCAUAUGAAAAUAUAUAAUCAAAUGACAAGAAAUAUCAUUAGCAGAGGUGAGUAAUGACAUACUUUGAUCUAUUGAUUGCACAACCAUCUGUCCAUAGUUUGCUACUCCUCCAGAAAGAUCAAGUAGAAUGUUACCAAUGCUGAAGCCAUCAGUACUUUUUCUCAGGAAGUUCAUAACUGCCUACAUUCAUAAGAAACAUAAUUACAUGGACUGCGAGAGGAUGUAAAGCAAGUCAGGCCUGACUCUGUUGAGAGAUUAGAAAAUGAAUGAUGAUAUAUAAUUUCCUUUAAUUCAUUGUUAUAAUGCACUCACACAAAAGAGAUAAAUAAGGCCCAUUUCAUCGAAGAAACAAUCCAUUCAAGUUUUCAGAGUUUAUUAUUACAGAUCUGGAGCUAGAUCAGUUACAUUUUCCACUUAAAUGGAAGGGGUCUAGGACAGUACGAUAGCUCACUUUUCCAAACCAGUCAAUUAUUUUACAUGAAGUAUAUGUCUAAAGCCCAAAUUGUGAACGAUGUGAACAAUAGAAAAUGGUGCUUCAACUAUCACUACAGGAAUAAUUUAAACUAUUAGAGGAUACCANGAAUAGAGAGAAAGAAUUGAGUUCCAAAUUUCCUCUGCCAUCUGACUCCUUAUGUUUAAUAACUUGGUUUUUCUAUCACUAGCAGGAAAGUAUUAAUUUUAAGUAGAAAUGACUAGAANGACAUCAGAAAAGAACAUGAAUAGGUUCAUUAGUANUUGGGAGCUGAUACUUAAAUUAGUUUCUGCCAUGAAAUUUUAGUUUAAAAAAAUGAUGUCAAUAACAGUCAAAAGAUAAAAAAGAAGACAAAUAAAUUUGAAAAAGAAUCCCAACCUGAGGAAUGUACUUUAUAACAGUCAUAGUUACUUGAAUUGUGCUGCAACAAAAUCAAUGUAAACAAAAAUUAGAAAAAAUUUAAUUACAUCCAAAGACUAGAGCAACCUAAUAUUUUGUAUCAACACAGAACAUGGACUGUAGCACUACAGCAAAGGUGGAUCUGAGGUAGUUCGAUAUACAGAAGAAGAUUCUAAGCUUUGUCCUAACAUCAUACCGUAAGCUGAGUCCAUGGUGGUAAGAACCCCAACACAUGAAAAAUUCAAAUGUCUUCUUUAUAAGAUUGGUCACAAAAUAAUAAAUCAUAAAGGUUCUCAAAUGAUAGCUAAUAUUCUUAAGCUGGCACACAUUAGUUCAAUAAUUCAUCCGUGCUCUCAAAUUAGAACAUAAAUACUUUCAGCCAAGUCUUCAAUUUCAUAUGCAACUGCCAACCCAAAUAAAGAGUAAACAUAAAAUGUUUGCCUUUAUUAACCACAUUAUCUACUUAGUAAUUGAUGAAAAAGAAAUAAGCUUUCUCCAAUUCUGUGAAUAGCACGCCAGCUCGAGAUGAAUUAGUGGUCUCAAGAAAGCACCGAAAAAUUUACCACAUGGGAGCUCCAUAAUUUGGUGUCAGAAACUAAACAAUAUCAAAUCUUCUUCAGUAGUAAAACAAUUAACAUCCCCUAUAAAACCAAAAGUAUAUCCACGAAUAUAUUCUAUGAGAUUAAAUUGAAGGCCAUAAAGAACGAAACAAAACCAAAAGCAUGGACAACAUACUUGAAUAUGGAGAUAAGCCAAAGCCAGGAAUGAUUUGACAAAGCAAUAAAGAAACAAACUGCUGCAAUAAGCCAAGCAACAGAGACAAUUCCAAUAGAAACUUUGGACACUUUCUGACUCCCACGCUACAAACAAACAAUUAUUAAGUUCAGUAAAAAAUCGAGAACUCGGUCCAUAGAACAAAAACGAAGAAUAUUCUCAUUUUUCAACAAUAUCAUUCUUACUUCAUAGAUUGCAAUCUGGAACAACGUGAUUGCCGUCAGUAGAACAGCAUGGAUGGAGAAAGCAACAUCAUUUGCAGCCACAGGUAUCAUCUGAAGUAGGCGGAAUUAAAACGACAUCAUCGAUCUAUAAAUGUUUAUACACACAACAAAUAUUACUUCAACUCUCAAACAAUUCACAAGUUUUCAAUCGUCAAAAUUUUCUCCAAAAAACAACAACUAAAGAGUCCUUAACAGUUCCUUCAAGAGCAGAUCCUAUUUUUGUUCUCACGAUAUGAACCACUUCUACACAAGCCAAUCGAUCAGGAAUCAUCAUUCAUUCAACUCUAAAGAUAUAAUACAUUCAAUAAACGAAACUUAUACGACAAUUUGUGAUUCAAACAUAAUUCAUAUAGGAUCUGUUUACAUAAACUUCAAUGUAACCACUUUUAGAAGAGAAAAAUAAAAUAGGUUUUUUUUCCUACAGUAAAAGUUUACGUAGAGUUAUUUAUCAUAGAGUAUUUUACAUCAGCUUUUCCAAAAAACUGAAUUUUUUAACCUAUAAAUAAGUUUAUUUUACCAUGCAGAAAAGUAGAUUUUAUUUUUUCUUCAUAUUUUCCUGGAAGUCUAAGAAAUUUAUGCAAAGAACCACUCUCUCGGAUGUGGGCAAAAUUGCCUUUCAGAGCAUGACAUGAUAUGACAUGAAUGAAACGUUGUCGUGUUCAUUUAAUUGAUAAACAAUUGAAGAGUGUUUGAGAAGGAACCUGUCCAUAACCGUAUUUAUCGAAGUAUUGCUUCUGAAUAGCAGAGCUGAAGUAGAGAGAAGCGUUGUAUAUGAGAUAGGUACUGUGCUUGGUCAGAUUCAGUAGCACGAAAUCGAAGUUGAGCCCAACCACACUAAAUUAAAAAAAAAAAUUAAUUAUAAAAUAUUUAAGUUUAAUCAAGCACAUGGAUGAUGAGAGAAAAAGAAGAUUGUACCUCCUCCUGCGAAAAUUCAAGAUGACUUGAGGGUAGAAACUGAUGGACCAGGAAACGAAAGCGAACCAACCCAGAGCCUCGUACACAACUUCGAGUUCAAACGAAUUCCACGAAGCCAUUUUCUUCGCUCGCGCAACAGCGAUCACCAACUGCGUAGGUGCGUUCCUUAAAUAUCAAAGACUAUAACGCUGACGUAAACGAUUGAAUCUAUUUUAAAUAUCUGAAAAAUUCACCAAUUACAUCAUUUCAACAGAAAAAGGUUCCGUUCUUAUUUCGUUCACCACCGUUUUAUGAAUAUUUAGUUUUUUUUUUUAUUUAUAUAUCUUAUUUUCACCAAUACUCUAAUUAAAAGGUUAAUAAUCCAAUGACUAAGGAAUUGGGCAUUUAUUGAACUUCAAGUAGAAUCAUUUGACCUUAAUUUUUGAACAAGAUAAUUUUUUUGUUGGACUUUAUUGACCUAAAGACACUAAACAAUCUAUUUCAUCCAUUCAAUAACAAAAACUGAAAUAUGGCUUUAUCUUUAAUUUUUUGUUUUUGUGCACCUCCAAAUUGUGAUACCAAAUAUGUUCUUCCACACGAAGAAAACAUCAUAAAAGGUUUCUGAAAACUCUAACAUAAUGUUCAAGCCAUGAAGAAUAUUUCAUAAGGAAGCAAUUUUAUGAGGAUUCAACUCAUAACCUUACGAUUGAAGUUAUGGAAGUCAUCGAUGCAGCCAUGUUAUUUGAGUCUAUUUAAACAAUGUUUAUUUUCUAUUUUAUAAAUCAGAUCUUUGAGAAAUCUUUUUUAAAAGAUUUUAAGAGAUUUAAAGAGAGAUUUUAGAGAAUAUUUUUGUACAUUUCCUCUAUAUUAAAUAAAACAUUUUUAGAGAAUUAAGGAAUAGAGUUUCCUCCAUGUUAUAACUUCUUUCUACCCAUUAUGAAGAACUAAAUCUCUUAAAUAUUAGAGUGUAUCUGCUUUAAACUCUCUUGUAUUUGGUAUUAUCUCUAUUUAUGUAUGUUUUUUGUUGAUUCAAAGUUUGUUAAUUGAUUUAUGCUUAACGUUGGAUGAAAUGAUGACUCCUCUUACUUCACUGGCUUAAGAUUUAGUAAGAACUAGUUUUAAGUUAUGGUCAAGUCAAUUAUCUUGUGUGCUUCUAGAUGUUAAGAAUAGAUCUAAGGUUGCAUAAGGAGAUAAAGUCUUGAUCUUAAUGUAGGUGAUCUGUUUAAGCAGUUACUAAAGAAUCAUACUAAAAGGUAAUGAUUUUAAGCUCUAAGUGUCAGGAAUGGACCUAGAGUUACACCUAAGAGAACUCCGAAGACUUGAUCACUAGCAACAUCAUAUGUAUUGAUAGAAUCAGUAUAAGAGAGGGAAAAAAGUGGCGAGGUUGAACUCUAACACAUUUUUAUCAUAUGAAAUUCACUCAUUUAGCAAUCUAAAUUGUUUUUUAAGAGAUAUCACAAUUAUUUUACGAAUCAAACUUGUUUUGUUCACGUUAAAAUCUUUGUUACUUUACAUUGAACAAUCAAACUAGUUAAAACAAAGUAUUUCUUUGUGAAAUCCUAUGGAUACAACACUUGUUAUACUAUUAACUACCUAGUAUACUUGUUGGUAUGUUAGGGUUGUUUGUUGCACUGCAGACCCAACAAUAGUCUUUAAUUUAAUUGAUUAUGUAAAUCAAUUAAUCAAGUAAAACAUAUAGCAUCGUGCGAAGAGUGCAUUUUUUCUUAUUUAGUCAAUUACAUGUUAAAUUAUUGUAGACUAAUUAUUGGAAUUUAGUUUUUAGGUGUUAAUGAUUUAAAUUACAAUACUAUUGAAUAUUUACAACUUAAAAAAAACACAAUAUAAAAAAGUAAAUAUUUUAAAUUACUUUUGAUUUUUAUUUUUAAAUUAAAAAAAAGGGGCUAGCAGGAGUUGGACUCCUUUUACCCGUUAAUUUGGCAGUUCAAUCCAACCCAUUUGCUUUGGGCAGGCUAGCGGGUUGGUCCAUGAGCUGUGGUCCACUUUGCCAUUCCUAUCCCAACUCUUACUGUAACGUGUUCCUAGUUACUCUCAUGAAUACCUGGGGUGGGUCAAUAAGUGUCGAGCUGGUCAUGGUCUCAUAAUCUUAUGUUACAAACCAUGCUAAAUUUUACAAAACAAGAUCAGCUCACAUCCCCACAAAAUCCAAUACUUUAUAGGGUAAAUAAUUUGGUUGGAAAUUAAAGAAGAAAAUGAUAAGGACACUAACAACUUUUUGUUUGAUGCUUUUAUCAUUAUACACUAAUAGCAUUUACGGUUAUUGAAUUUUCAAUGCAAAGGGAUCAAUUAGGAUUGAGUUCAUUACAAGAGAGAUCAUGACACAAGUUCCAUCUUAGGCAUUCUCGAAUGGUCUAUCUGAAGACUUGGCAUUAUCAUGUUCAGGAGAUGCCUCUAAUUUUCGUGUCUUCACAGGAUAUAACAGAUAAUGUUGGCACAUGAAAAUGAUGUCAAAGAAUACAGACACCUGCAAUGGUUCAUUUUAUGAAUAGCAAUAUUAGUUAAAAGUUCUAUUGGAUCAGAAUAACAAUCUAACAAGCAAAAUCUCUUGCAGAAAAAAAAAAUAAACACCAGAGAUAGCAGCAGUUUCCCUAUAUUUCCAUAGAAGUUCACCCAAGAAUCUGGAAAUCAAAGUUGGAUAUCAAUUUAAACCGUAAAGAAGAUAAUAGCAACAUACUCUCUUCUAACAUUGAUUUUUAGAACUUACUAAACAUUGCAAAAUCAUGAUUGAGACUUGUUUAAAGAGUGUUGUAGAGUAUGUUACUAGCAUUUUUUUAACUAUAAAUGGAACAAAAUCCUUUGAUAAAGAAGAUGACUUACGUUGAUCGAUUGAUUGCAUAGACAUUUGAGCAUAGUUAGCUACGGAGCCAGAAAAGUCGAGUAGAAUGUUAACAAUGCUCCAGCCUUCUGUACUUUUUCUCAUAAAGUUCAUCACUGCCUAUAUUCAAUAUCACAACUUACUACUUGAGAUAAAAUAGUUAACAUGUUUUAACAAACAAUAAGUUCACUUUAUGACCAAAGAAAUAUGCAGCAGUUCUUCAGAUUGUGUAUGUUUGCAUUCCAAAAUAUGCUUCAUUGAAGACAAGACUAGCAUAAUCUUACUGAUUCCUAGUUCCUAGAGCUAAAUUAUCUCAGCAAUCAAACUGAGAUAAUAUAAACACGAGAAAAAAGGAAAUCAUAAAAACUCGAAUAGGUCCUGACCUGGGGAAUGUAUUUUAUAACCGUCAUACAAACUUGAAUGUCACUGCAAGUGAAUCAGUUUCAAGAAAAGUCAGAAAGAAAUUUGUUAACACAUUCAUCAUUCAUGAUGCAUGUUAUAUGUAACAAUGGCAUGGGAAGAAACUUGGUCUUAUUAUGAUUCUCCAAUGUAAAUUUCUUAAUAAUCCACAAUAGGAAGUCAAAUUAAUGACAAUUUUCAUGUAACAAACUUAAACAGAAAACAUACGAGAAGAUUGAGAUUAGCCAGAGCCAGUUAUGAUUGUGCAAUGCUACAAAGAAACAGACUGCUGCAGAGGUCCAUGUAACAAGGAGAAUUCCAUAUGCGAUUUUAGAGACCUUCUGACUUCCCCGCUACAUGAAAACUUAACCUCUUUUAGGAUAAUCAGAAAUUCAUAACAAGAACAAUAAGCUCAAUUAGAGGGAGCAUAUUACUAACAUCAUAUACAGCAAUCUGGAACAAGGAAAUUGCUGUCAGCAAAACAGCAUGGACUGAAAAAGCAACAUCAUUUGCUGCCACAGGUAUCAUCUGAAAUAUAUCAAAAAAUGCCGAAUCACCUUCAGCUAAUACUGAAUUUAUGCAGACAUUAAACAAAGAAAGAAAAA